CCAGUGGCAGUAUGUGAGCCACUGGCAAGAGAGGGCACCAGCGAAAGGCAUCCUCUAUAAGACCACUCCAUGCUUAAUGAAAGAAGAGAUGGCAUGGCACAGGAUCUACCGGAACAAGGCAGCAACAUCGAAUUUGAAACCAUUUACAUUGAUGAUAAAGCUCAAGUAAAACUGUAGGGGAAUUUCCUGGGAAACAACAGAUUCUUUUGACUUAAUGGUACAAGAAAGUUUGAAAUUACAUCUGAAAUUUUAUCUCAGCUGGAUGCUGUAAUGGAGUAUGUACUGUCAUCUGAGGGCUUGAUUUGGUUGGCUGACUUACUCAUCAUUGCACUGCUAUAUCCUGUCACAUGCUGCUGAGGAACUGAGCAGGUCUGGAGGCUGAGGAAAGCUGCUUUCGGACCUGAGCAAAUAACAGCUACAAAAAUAAAUCAAGACCAAUCAGUGCAGUUAUUUAGGCUUAAGAGGUCUGGCAGAACCCUCAUGGACAUGAAGGACCAGAAUUGAAGAUACAUUUAAUAAUAUAUAUGUAUACAGUUUUGAAUUAUUCAAAAGGAAUCAUGAUGAAAUUCAUCUGUGAAUGCUAUCAACAGACUGACACCCUCUUUCUGAGAGAUGCUUAUAGCAAUGAAGUAUCUUCAAGAUCUUGAAGAGAAGACCUUGUGAUAAAUAAUCUUUUAUGAGCCUUGUGAUUCUCAUUUAAUUAAAGAUGAACUGGAUAAGCUUUCUAUCUCUCCUUGGGAUUUUUAAUAAAAGUUAAAAAUAAU